UCCCCUCCCUCUCUACAAUCUCUCCAAAGAUCCCCCAUCAAAUUCUUGUUCUUGCAUCCGUUAAAGCCUAUUUUUCCAAGAGUCUCCGACGAAUCGCAUCGUCUCUUGUCCCUACCGAUCCGUUUUCGUCGAAGAAGGUUGAGCAGGAUGUUGCGGAGGAUGUUGAGCUAGCCUUAGGAUGUGUUGUGUCUUCAUACAUAGGCUUGAUCCUUGACUCUCUCUUUAAACCUUUUUCCGCUGCUAUAUUAUUAAUUAUGUCUCAAGACUUAAAUCGUUUCCGUAUUGUGUUUUGAACAUGUAUGGUGGUGUUAGGUUUUAACCAAGUAAUUACGUUGUCUUUGAAAAUGGUGUUUUCCGUGAAUUAAAUUAAAUGUUUUACUUUAGAAGUUAUUUGGGUUUCUUAAAGUUUAUUUUUCUCCGCUGCUUCUUUUAAAAGUGUUUUUAUCAUGAGUCAUUUCUAAUUAAUAGUACAAUUUUAACCUUAAACUUUUUUUUUAAAACAAAAAUGCUUUUUUUUCUGCCUUUAAGUUAAUUAAGUUUCUUUUUAAAGACGUUGUCCGUGCAUUUUAGUCACGAUCGUCGCGUUUGUGGUAACCCUAGUAUGGGCGGUCGUGACACAGGCUUAAAUUAAUUAAUGGAUAUUUAUAUCUUAAACAUGGGAAAUAAUAAAUUAAAGAGGUAGAGCCCGAAUUACUCAUAAUUUAGGAUUGGACGGGCAGACAAUAUUGUUUUACUAUAGUGGCUGAUAAUAAUAUUCUGUUGGACUUGUAUUAAAUUGGGGCUCAAUUUAAUUAGUAAAAGUCCAACAGGCUUGGCCCAAGUCCAGCCUCCAUGGAUCCCUAAUCUGGCCCAUAAUAACUCUAUAUAAAAGGUGAUUAGAAAGAAGAUUAAGUGAAUUUUUUUAACUCAUAAUUUCAUGCUCCCUUCUAGGAGUGGACGGAAAAAAUAGUUCUUCACAGAACUAGAGUUCUGUCUCCUUUCUAAUCAAGUCCUUUUCGAUUCUGACAAGCUUUGCCCACCCAAAGGUCGGAUUCUGAGUUCGGGAUACAGAUUAGAAGGUUUGGUUGAGUACGAAGAACAUCACGUGGAGAAGCCGCAAGCAAUCGACGAUACUUUGGAGAAUUAGAUCGAACAUCAAUGACAAAAAGAGGCAGACCCUUCAAAAGCCAACCUACCCAGACUGCAGCUACCAAGGGUAGACUACGAAGAGAUGUUGGAUGGUGUUGUUCCGAUAGCAAUUGCGCAGCGUUUCCGGCAGAGAAUGGUAGAACAAAAAGAGAAGCACCCUAAAGUGCAAGCUGAAGUGGGUGAAGGGCCCAGUAGUUCAAAGAAAGGGAACCUCCUCUAUUUCAGGAGGGUUUAAUUGAUUAUU